rnacentral:misc_RNA from 1 species
UCCGGUUUAUCACCGGCAGUUCCCCAUGAGUCCCCGGCAUUACCCGCUGGCAACAUAGGGCAAGGGUUGCGCUCGUUGCGGGACUUAACCCAACAUCUCACGACACGAGCUGACGACAGCCAUGCAGCACCUGUGCACGUGUCCCGAAGGAGGGCCCCUGUUUCCAGGGGCUUUCACGUGCAUGUCAAGCCCAGGUAAGGUGGGGAUGACGUGAGCCUAUCGAGA